UACAGAGGUCUCAAGCGUUGUUCGGAUUCAUUGGGCGUAAGGGGUGCGUAGGCGGCGUGGUAAGUCGGGUGUGAAAUCUCGGAGCUUAACUCCGAAACUGCAUUCGAUACUGCCGUGCUUGAGGACUGGAGAGGAGACUGGAAUUUACGGUGUAGCGGUGAAAUGCGUAGAUAUCGUAAGGAAGACCAGUGGCGAAGGCGGGUCUCUGGACAGUUCCUGACGCUGAGGCACGAAGGUCAGGGGAGCAAACGGG
rnacentral:rRNA from 1 species